rnacentral:lncRNA from 1 species
AAGAAAGAAAGAAGAAGAGAAAAAAAAAGGGGGAAGAAGAAGAAGAAAAAAUUUGGGGCUUUGAGGUUUCUUGCUCAAAUCUUCUCAUUUAGGGUCAUAAUUCUCAAAGGCAAGUAUUCUAAUCCCAUCCUAUAGAAUUAUUAGUCUUUGAUCUCAUAUUUAUUCUGAAUUAUUCGAAAGAUUUCAGCCUAGAACCUGAUAUUUCUCUU